GCCGGAAGAAAGCAGGAGCUGAGCCCACUCGAUUCUAUUGCAUCCACCUUCAAACUGUGUUCACUAUUUAGAGAGGGAGAUGGCGAGCUUGAAGAGAACGAGGAUAAGAAGAAGAAGAAGAAGAAGCAGCAGCAGAAGAUGGGCGAGAGAGAGAGAGAGAGAGAGAGAGAGAGAGAGAAGACAACGGGUGCGGAGAGGCAACUAACGCUAACAGUAAAUAUUUGAUUUCAUAUUGUUCCUGCCACUUGCACUUUUUUUUUUGGGUCGAAUAUCACUUGCACUUGCACUUGAUGAUGCGAGAAAUUGAACUUAUAUCGCACGUGUGGUUUUCAUACACUGCUUCUUUCUUCAAAAACUUUGACAACCUCCAUUGUAUUAGCUUCGCCUAAUCUUUCUCUCUCCAAGUUGU